rnacentral:tRNA from 1 species
GCGCCCGUAGCUCAGCACGGAUAGAGCGAGAGUCUCCGGAACUCUAGGUCGGAGGUUCAAAUCCUCUCGGGCGCG